AGUGUGAAUUGGAAAAAAUUUGGGCCUGCCUAAGCCCAAGCUUCCUGCAGCUUGAUCUGGGUCCGCACAUCCAACACCAACUCAGCUUCAUGCCAUGGUUACAAAGACUUAUUAACGGCGCAACAUGUUUCAUCCUCGAUUCCACGCAUCACGUUCAAUAUGAGCUCUUCUUCCCCUUCGAUUCAAACAAAUCGAUCAAAAAAACAAGAGGGAAACUACUUCAUAUCGAACUCGUCGAUUGCAAACGACCUCGUUUGUUUUCCGAUUCGUGAUUUUACACCUUAUCACCGUGAAAUCUAUCGGUCCAGAUGCAGUUCGAGUUACAUAGUCAUAACUUCGAAAGGAACGCGAUGCCACAUCGAAGUUCAUGAGUAAAUCAAUGGCAAUAAAUUAAGAUAAGGCGGCAAAGGAAGUACCAGGUCGGCGCAGUGGCUCUUCGGAGACAACGUCGACUUCCAGGACCACCGUUUGCAGUAUCGAUGUACUGAUGCAAUGGCUUGUGGUGUUCAAUGCACAUGUUGGUUGCUGUCAUGUUCACCUGCUCAUUUGCAAUGUUUGGUAACAAUGUUUUCAUUAUCUCUGUUAUUUGGAUGGUUGUCUGUUUCAUUCUCCUCCACAUCUAUCAUGUUAGGACCCAAUAGAUUCUGACAUUCAGGAGGGCAAUUUCUAAUAGAAUCCCUCUUCUUCGGGUUCACUAACUCCUUGCUCGAAUGAGGCUUACAGGAAAUGUUAGAGAUAUCAUAAUUAAUAUCAAGAAAAUUUGGUCUUUUGGUUUGGAAUUGUAAAUCAAUGGUUGAAAUUGGAUUAUGGACUUUGAUUUAAUGGUAGUACAUGAAGCAUUGUAUUUGUUUGAA